GGUUUAGUUUAAAGAUGGUCUUGCUAUCACUAAGAGAUGGUCCCGCGGUGUAUUAGUUAGUUGGUGAGGUAAUGGCUCACCAAGACAAUGAUACAUAGCCGAGUUGAGAGACUGACCGGCCACAAUGGGACUGAGACACGGCCCAUACUCCUACGGGAGGCAGCAGUAGGGAAUCUUCCACAAUGGACGAAAGUCUGAUGGAGCAACGCCGCGUGUGUGAUGAAGGGUUUCGGCUCGUAAAACACUGUUGUAAGAGAAGAAUGACAUUGAGAGUAACUGUUCAAUGUGUGACGGUAUCUUACCAGAAAGGAACGGCUAAAUACGUG
rnacentral:rRNA from 1 species